UCUACGGGUGGCAGCAGUGAGGAAUAUUGGUCAAUGGACGCAAGUCUGAACCAGCCAUGCCGCGUGCAGGAAGACGGCUCUAUGAGUUGGAAACUGCUUUUGUACGAGGGUAAACGCAGAUACGCGUAUUUGUCGUAAAGUAUCGUAAGAAUAAGGAUCGGCUAACUCCUUGCCAGCAGCCGCGGUAAUAAGGAGGAUUCAAGCGUUCACAGGAUUUAUUGGGGUUAAAGGGUGCGUAGGCGGUCGGAAAAGUUAGAGGUGAAAUCCCGAGGCUCAACUUCGGAAUUGCCUCUGAUACUGUUCGGCUAGAGAGUAGUUGCGGUAGUCGGAAUGUAUGGUGUAGCGGUGACAUGCUUAGAGAUCAUACAGAACACCGAUUGCGAAGGCAGCUUACCAAGCUACUUCUGACGUUGAGGCACGAAAGCGUGGGGAGCAAACAGGAUUAGAUACCCUAGUAGUC
rnacentral:rRNA from 1 species